ACCCCCGUCAAGUGAGCCGUCAUCUGCAAAUGCAUGGUCAAGCCAGCCGCAGCCUAAACUGUGUUGCACGUCAUUUAGUAAAAUUACGGAUUUAUCUAUUAACAGGAUCUUCUUCAGGAUGACCCCACUCUGUUUGUUACUUAUCAAAAUAAAUUACAGCAGAUUAACAAAGAAACUGUACACAAAGACUGUCCACAAUAAAUGAACAUGCAUCAUU